GAGAUUUUAUGCUAGGUGUUUGUGUUAAUGUUUGAAAAGAGAAGAAUUUUUUCCCAUGAAUUCUGUUUUUUGUUAGCAUGGCUAGUGAAAUUGGAGAGCAAGUGGUACAAAUCUUAUUUUCCUGCAGGUUCAUUGUGUUGCGGCCAAGAAGUACAUUCUCUAAAUUAGUCUGAUGUAAUUGGUUCAUGAAAAGAAAACAAUAGUUCAAAUCUGCAUUAUACAAAACAAUUCAUACAAAAAAACAGUGAAGUAUUGUUGUAAAUUAGAAAACAGUAUUCAAUAUUUUUUUAUAAAAAAGUUCUCCACAUAAAAAAAUGCAACAGUAGUUCAACACAAUAUCAAGGAGAGUGUGAGUUGGGUAUGGUUACAAACAAAAUAUAUGUGUCGAAAAGUUCGCUUCAUCUGCAUACUUAAGUUUAAAAAAUUGUCGUAGAGCUAGUUCAAAAGAUUUUCAAAAAGUAGAAUGGUUGUGCUAGUUCAAUUUUUUCAGUCCAUCUUCUGUAUGCUAUUUAGUACAUCUAAUUCCAAAUCGUAAGUACAAUUGCCUUUAUGUUUUCCAUCUUCAUAUAACACAAAACAGGCAGUGGAGGAUAAGGUGAGAAUAUAUACUAAUCAAAUGUUUGGUGGCGUUGUCCAUGUUUUGAAUUUAAACCACUAGCUUUUUUAUACACGAGGGCUUGUCCUGGGAGAGCCCUAUAUAGCCAUGAGCACUACUGCUACAAACUUUAAUCCCCCAUUGUCCGGCCUACAGAGCAUUAGGAAAAGUUCAAAUAUUUGUAAUUCAUUCAGUUCUUCUGGUUAGUAGACUAGUGGUUCAUCUUGCUAAAUCUUGUGGCUUAAAGUUCCUCCAUGUUUUGUUACAGCAGUUCAAUGUGUAUUUUUAGAAGAAAAUCAACAACGGCGGCUGCACUGGAGUAGCAGGACUACUAUUGUUGAUAGGUUUGUGAACUAAUAAACAUUCUUUUUUAUGUUCUUGUGAUGUUUCAGGUGUGUUUUGGGGCAAUACAAAUACAUCGCUAUAAUUAGUACAUAUGUGGCACCUUGCAAAGUACUAAAAAGACCAACUAAUUAGGAUUACUAUAAUGAACUAACAAUAAAAUUUGAGUCCUUCAGGAUCCUCUAGUUCUGGAUGUCCACCGCCAUCCCCGUCAACCCCUAUUUCUUCACUGUAAGGAGGCUCUCUGCUCAUCGCUCGGUUGUCCUCUAUUUGUUCUAAUUUCUGAAGAAAUUGCAAAUCAAGUUUAGUUUGAUGAUGGCUGUUGAGGAUUACAUCUGUGUGCUUUGAUUGAUUUAGUUUCCGAAUCUUGACUUGCUAAAAUGAACCUACUCUGUUUUCAAUCAAUCGAUGGAGUGCGGGAAAUCCAAAUUUGUCUUAUUGUUUACUCCAUCAAUUCAUAUAAGUUCAACUAUUUUAUUGCUAAUAAGUUCAGCUAUUUUAUCAAAAUAGGGGGCUAUAAGAUGUUGACUGUCAUUGCCCUUCCAUUGAUAUCGUUGGAGUCGAACCAUUCGCUGUGAGUUUCAGCCCAUAGGUUGCUCGUGAUCCUUGCUCCUUAAGCUCCACUUUGUCGGCGCCGUCAGUCCACAGAAGUAGGGGCGGCGUGCCCGUCAACAAACAAGAACAGAAGCACAGGUAGCAGUGGGACUGACUGGGAGUGAUCCCUAUAUAACUCAGGAAGCACGUCAGUAUAGAAGGCAAAAAUCUGUAACCUAUAUAACUCCUGUUUGUUCUGACUUCUUGUUUCUCUACAGCGGCCAAAUCCCGGCACACCUGAUAGUUGAAACUUACACAUGGCCUGCGACCAACUGCACCGCCUCUAUAAGCUCCUCGGGAAUGACUUGGUAGUAGCUGGGAUCCCCUUACAGCGGCAAAAUCCCGGCGCACCCAGCCGCCGCUCGUGAUCCCUGCUCCUUCAGCUCGACUUCGCCGGUGCCGUCAGUCCACAGGAGUAGGAGCGUCAUGCCCGGCAACAAACAAGAACAUAAGGAACUACACGCUAUAUACAGAAUUUCUACAGAAACUGCUGCAGAUACAUGACUUAUGAGGCUACCAGAGGCUACUACACCUCCAGAUUAAUGACAGCCUGCAACUUACUUGCUUCCAACACACUAGUAACACAUUCUAAGGUUCGUAAUCGGCUACUUCAAAGCGCUAUUGCUAUUCUGUGGGUAAAGGUCCUCAUUUUGUUGAUGGUGGCAUCUUACAAAGAAAAGGAAGUUCGAGAUGGGAACACUUGUUUCAAAUGCUCUCCUCCCAUUCGCGAUGCUGCCAACAAGGAAAACCUCUGGGAAGCUCUGCUGGUAAUGCAAUCUCCUAUCCAUCCCAGCUCCAACUUACUGCUGCUAAUCAAUUGUCUGCAUGUAAUUGAAAAGUAGGUGUUUGUUGCAUAAGUUCUGAACUUGUAGGUGUUUGUUGCACAAGUUCGAGUUGUCGCUACUCGGAGAAGCUACUACUAUUGCUAGCUUUGGGGUUCACAUGCUACAGCACAUGGAUCCAUGGACAAUGAAUUAAUAUGAGAGAGAUAAUUUGGUUGUGUCAUGCUCUUUAGUGUUUGUUUCUAUUCCUGUUAGAACCAAAUAGUGUUUGAAUUUUUUUUAUUUUGUGCUCUCACAUAUUUGUUUGGGAAGUACAAACACAUCAGCACAGUGAGUAAGGAUGUGGCACCUUGGGGAAUAAUGCCUACAAAGCAAGCCCAGGAUGACGACGCUGAUCACUAGCAUGAAGGAUACCAAGCAGGCUAAGGAUGAAGUACACGAUGAAGGCAAUGAGGACAAUGAAAACAUGCAAUCCAUAAACAUAGCAGCAGCUGCAAGUUCUUCUGUGUAUGAUAAUAUGAUUGCUACUUUUUAAAAGAAAGUGUAAAUGAUAGUUUGAUGUUUCUACAAGAAAGGAAAAAAUGGUUUGAAUUAAAAACAUUGAUCAGUAUGAAUAAAAAACAAUUAUCAGUUCGA